GUUUACUGAUGAAUAUCCAUGCUAAUACUGAGACAUCAGGAGAAAGACUUCUCCUGGAUGUAAAUGACUAGCUGUACUAAAACUGAAAGCA
rfam:Xenopus laevis strain J chromosome 6S, whole genome shotgun sequence.